GGAGCCAGAGGGACAUGCCACCGCUUCCUGGGAGCUGUGCGGACUUCCUCUGUCCCCAGGAAAUGCUGGGACAAUGCUGGUAUAGCUGCUAAGGGACCACCUGAGGCCACAUAUGCAAUAGAUGACUGUAGAGACCUUGUCUGGAUGGACACUUAUGAACCUGAGACGACCUACUAUGUCUAGCGCUUCUACUCCCACACUAAUAGCUUUGUGAAGCUCGAGCAGGUCCCAGAGAUGCUGAGCUGUGGCCAGCAGAGGAGGAUCAUGGUGCACUACAUUUUGAACAAAGAGGGAUACAAGGAUGCCACCAGUGUGAACUUCUACUAUGUGGUGAUGGCAAAAGGCAAAAUUGUUCUGAAUGGCCAACAGCAAGUCAGCAUCACAGGUGGUAGGUAGUACCUGCAGAUGUGCUAACGUGGAGAUGUGCUUCUGGGAUUCUGGUCCUUGUGUAGGGGCAGAAGGGGUGAGACGAAGACUCUGUGCUUCCCCGAAGGGACAGCAGGAACCAAAACGUAUAUCAGAUGACCAGAAUAACCAAAUCCAAAAAAGAAGAGCUUGA